rnacentral:rRNA from 1 species
UACAAAGGUCUCAAGCGUUGUUCGGAUUCAUUGGGCGUAAAGGGUGCGUAGGCGGCGCGGUAAGUCGGGUGUGAAAUCUUGGAGCUUAACUCCGAAACUGCAUUCGAUACUGCCGUGCUUGAGGACUGGAGAGGAGACUGGAAUUUACGGUGUAGCGGUGAAAUGCGUAGAUAUCGUAAGGAAGACCAGUGGCGAAGGCGGGUCUCUGGACAGUUCCUGACACUGAGACACGAAGGCCAGGGGAGCAAACGGG